rnacentral:snoRNA from 1 species
AGCCUAUGAUGAAGAAAUUGCAGAAGUAAUUCCUUGUAUCUUUCCCAAGCCUCGUAUAACGAUUUAGAAUCUUGAUGCAUGAAUGAAGUAAUAUCAUUCCUCAUUUU